ensembl:lncRNA
AAUAUAAUCUGGUACUACUGUGGUAUAUGUGACCCUAGUACUUAAAUAUAAUCUGGUACUACUGUGGUAUAUGUGACCCUAAUAGUCAGUUAAUAAAAAACGUGUAGAACAUGACAUAAAGUAAACAUUUAAAACAGUACAAACAGAAUAAAAAGAACAAUAAUAGUAAUCAAUGGUACAGUACCUGGUGCAGUUCAAGGGUAAGGAUGUAUCUUGCAUUGCAUUUGUAAUUAACAAAGAAGGAUCAGAUGAGUGUAAAAGCAAUGGAAAACGUUAAAUGGUUGCCUGAGGUGCAGGUUUAAUAGUUUUUAAAUGACAGACUAUUAACUGUAUGGAUUAUAUUAGGAGGUAGUACAUCCCAGGCAUUAAAAAAUGUUCUAGGAUUGGAGGUAUUAUGUGACCUAAACUAGCAUUCCUUGUGUAAUGGUUAUGUCUACUACUACUACUACGUAUAUUGUAACUGAUUGUAAACAUAUUCAGGUGUCUGAUUAAAUACUACCUUUCUGAAAACAUGGGAUGGCUUUGGGGAAGUUUGAUUUCCAAUGACCACCAUGACAGGCAAGAGUGCAUAUAUAUACUGUAUUAGUUCUUAUUGAACACUGGAAUGGCAGCACAGUUGUACUUUAUUUGUGUUCUUCUUUCAGCUGCUGACCAUAUGAAUAGACAGUAUAGCAAGUAAAAAAAGACCAAGGACUGUAACACCUGGCAAACAAUAUGGUGUAAAAAUAAAAUAAUAAAGUGUUAAAUAGGCAAAGCACAUUAUGGUCAUUGCUACAUCUCUUCCCAUUUCAUUCACAAUGCUGCCAAUGUGCUUAGACCACUGUUCGUCCAACACUAGACCAGUAGCUGGGUGCUUUUGACCUCUUCUAUGGCCAAACCUGACAUAAACAGGUGAAGCUGUGCGUCACCAUUAAUGUUCCUUAAGCCAAACACAAUACUUUUAAUUUUAGAAAUGUUCAGGGCUAGUUCAUUCGCUUUCACCCAAUCAGCCACUCUUUCCAGGGUUUUUAUUAUUAUAAAAAUUAUAUUACAUCACAUGUCAUGUAGCUGACGCUUUUAUCCAAAGCGACUUACAAUAAGAACAUUUCAACCAUAAGGACACAAACUCAAAAGAACAAGAAAGUGUGAUUUCAUCAAACAAGCCGAUGUACAACUUGCUGUAGAUAAGAACCAUUAUAAGUCCAAUGUAAGUGCUACAGUUAGUGUGUUAGUGGAGGUAGAGUCUGAAGAGGUGUGUCUUUAGUCUGAAGAUGUGAAGGCUCUCUGUGGUCCUGAUGUAAGCUGGACCCCAUCCAUUCACAGCAUGGUACGUGAGCACCAUGUUUAGAACUGGAUGAGCCACCGGUACCAGUGAAGAGAGCGGAGGAGUGGAGGAGUGAGGGAGAACUUAGGAAGGUUAAAGACCAGUGGAGCUGCUGCAUUCUGGAUGAGCUGCAGAGGUGGAAUGGUGGUAGCAGGAGACCUGCAGGACAGAGCUGCAGUAGUCCAGGAGGGAGACGACAAGAGCCUGAAUCAGUACCUGUACUUGUUGAAGACGACCUAGAGAGUCACGUCUUUGUGUGUGGAAGUCGUUGGUUGGUUUAUUUAUUCAUCAUAGACUUUAUUGCCCCGUGCAUCCACACUGCUGCUUUUCAUCUCAGACACAUUUGUCCCGUAUUUUCCUCCACAACUUUGUUCCCCUCGACCGGCAAACCGACGUUUGCGGCGAUCUCCCUCCAUGAAUCCAACCCACUUAUACAACCCGCCAAUGACAAUGUUUUCUUCUAGCUGUCUUCCUGUUGUUGUCCACUACUUCACGUUGUCUUCAAGUUCUCUUGUAGUUGUUUUCCACUACUUCUCGUUAUCUGUUGUUAUCUGUUGUCUCCCUGUUGUCUUUCAGCUGUCAUCCUGCUGUUGUCCAGUGCUUUGCAUGUUCUUUGCAUUGUCUUCCAGUCGUCUUCCUGUUGUUGUCCACUACUUCCUAUUGUCUUACCGUUGUUUCCACGUUGUCUCCCAGUUGUCAUUCCAGUGUUUUAGUGUUGUCUUCUUGUUGGCUCCCCACUGUCUUCCAGUUGUCGUCCCCUACUUUCUAUUGUCUUCCUGUUGUCCCCAACUGUAUUCUCGUUGUUGUCCACCAUUUCCCGUUAUUGUCCCAUUGUUGUCACCUACCUAGCUUUGUUCCUUAAAUUAAAUAAUUCACUGCAGAAAACAAAGGAAGUCUGAUGUAGUUCAAUGAAAAAAGAUUUUUUCUCUGAUUUAACCUCUUUUCUUCAUGUUCUGAGACGCAUGCCACCGUGAUCGGCCAAACAGGGUCCAUCACAUCACACUAAUAGACUGCCAAAUGUACAACACACACACGCGCACACACACACACACACACAAUCGCACAGACACAGAGGGCGUUGACCUGCUAUUACUGAGCUUUUCUGCUUCACUGCAGGCUGGUAAUGAUGGUCUGUGUGUGUGUCUGUGUGUCCAGAAACUUGUAAUGUGUUGGUUGAGUAACUUAGUGAUUGACACACCGACCCAGAGAGAGACAGAGAGAGAGGGCCUUAUGGACUAACGCUUUUGCACCCACUUCAGGCGUAUUUGAUUCGCAACGUGCGCGUAAAAGCAUUGCGAAGUGCAAACAUGCCGCUCUGUGGUGAAAGCGCAGUUGCGGGAACUGAAAAUGGCAAAUUGCGCUUUCUCAUGUCAUGCUUUUACGUGCACGUUGCAAAACAAAUACGCUUGAAGUGGCUGCAAAAGCGUUAGUACAUGAGGCCCAGAGAGGGAGAGAAGCAGAGGGACAGAGUUCAGAAUCAGAUGGACAUCCAUAAAAUGGUUAAACACGCACACACCUAAACCCACAGACACACACAAACAGCAGGGUUUUAAUUAGUGAGUUUUAGUUGAGUGAUCAGCUCGUAAAGCUAACAAUGUUUGCUGCCCUCCGCAAAAGCAAAACACCUCAUUUAAUUCAACACACAUGCUCACAUACAGACAAACACAAAGACAUAAAUACAAACUCACACACGGCUGGAAAAUUAACCCAGUUUAAAUCCAUUUCAUUUUGUGCUUAUGGGAUGAAAUGUUCAGUCUGUGUGUCAACAAACAUAAGUUCAUUAAAACUCAAUUUUCUGCUGCAGCUUUCUGUAUUGACCCACCAGUCAUUAAGUCCCUCUGUUUUCAUAUUUAUUUAUAUAUUUAUAAAUAAGUUUACAACAAAUACAGCACAUGUUCAAAAUACCAUAUGUACGGUGUGUGUGUGUGUGAAAGAUAUAUCUGUACACACACCCUAAUAUAUAUAUAUAUAUAUAUAUAUAUAUAUAUACAGCAAAGGUCCUUGAAGAGAGACGUCUCUCCCGUCCCUGUUCCAGUGUCCCAGCUGUAGUGGUCUUGACACACGGACACUGGACCUGAUCCCAGAUCAGCAGCAGGAAACUCUCAAAAACCAAAAUCAGUUUUAAGAGAAUGUCUUUGUUUGAUGAAACCACAUGUUCUCGAUUCAUCUACAUUUUAGUCUCCCUUUUGCUCAGAAUCAGAGAUACGUGUCAUCACUUCUUCUUCAUGUCCUCUGUCCUGCACUUCCUGUCUCCGUCCCAGUGUCUAACUUUUCCACCUCCUCUCAUCCGUCUUCAUCUCUCGGUCUCUUCUGCGGUGUCUCUCGUCCGUCUCCAUCACUCCACAUUAGCUCCCUCUCUCCUCUAUUACCUCCCUCUCUCCUCCAUUAGUAACACCUGAAUCCUUCUAUUAGAUUGAGGAAGUCGGCCUCAUAAAUUCGCCGGCGUUCCUCCGCAGCCGAGCGCCGGCUCAGUGUUUUUGAUAAUGAAAGGAUCUGGGCUUAAAUUCACAUUACCUUUGUGAUGUACUUCAUGCUUGAUCAUAUCAGGCUCUUUGAUUUUAUUAACGUCUCUGAAUGGAUUUCUCGUUCUCUCUGCCCGUCCAUCUCCGUCUGUCGCCCCCCUCCCAACGUCUACUCCAACGAGGGCUUCGUCCUCCGAGGGGGGCGCUGAAGGUCGAGGGACUUGGGGUCGAGAGGCAGCAGACUGCCCGGCAGCUGCAAAGCAUGAUGGGAAACCUGCAAGGGCUUUACAUGAAUCAACAGAAGAACUCAGCGGACUCAAACAUGGUUAUUUGUAACGCACGCUGGCGGAGCGGCACAUUGAGACAAAGUAAAUAAAGUGCUGUAAUCACCACCCGGCUGGUACACGCAGUGACUCCGAUCAAACACACCCAAGGUGUUGAGGAUCAGCUCAGACACUGUGACAUCAUAAACAUAAAUAUCCUUGUUGCGUUUGACCUGCGUGUGUCCUCUGAGUCAAACCCGAGACCUGGAGGAGGUCUGUUAAAAUAACAAUCAGAGCUACUGUUUGUCCCUUAAUCGAUAAAUAUAAUUUGCAAUACGCUGCUAUCAGAUUUAAUGAGAAAAGAUUAACACACACACCCACACACACACAAAGCGCAUACAAAGCAAAAAUAAAGUGCACACAUACACGCGCACACACACAUGGAGUCAGUUAACCCAUUCUGACCUCUCUGCUGCUCUGCUGCUUUCCAACACACAACCUGUCAAACUGUCAGUGUGUGUGUGUGUGUGUGUGUAUAUUUCAUUAGUUUCAACAGUUUCAGAGUUUGAGGAUCGAUAUGCUUGAGUGUGUGAGUGUGUGUGUGUGUGUGUCUGUGUAAAGUAACAAAAGCACUUGUCAGAGGCACUGUCAGAAGUCCCGCCCCUGACUGUCUGUCAUAGUAUUUUGAUUGACAGCUCUUAACACAUGACAUCUUAUUGUGUUGUAGUUGAUUCAUUUUUAUUUAUUUAUUAAUAAAUUAAAUAUUCAUCUGAAGGAACCUGACGGUAAAAGGUCUGUGUGUUCUGUUCUGGUUGCUUAAAUAUCUGCAGAGCCAACGCACUACGAUCUACGAGCAAGUACGUUAGGAGAGGAGAGAAUUUAGAGCUAUAGGAGGAGGUUGUCAGUAGGGAGGUUCUAAGAGUCAGUGUGGAGGUUCUAAGAGUCAGUGUGGAGGUUCUUAGAGUCAGUGUGGAGGUUCUAAGAGUCAGUGAGGAGGUUCUGAGCAUCAGUGAGGAGGUUCUAAGAGUCAGUGAGGAGGUUCUAUGAGCCAGUGAGGAGGUUCUAAGAGUCAGUGAGGAGGUUCUAAGAGUUAUUAAAGAGCUUCCUGGGUCUUUAUUUUGUAUCUGCUGUUAACUAUGUUAAAGCGGGAAUAAGCAUUUUUACAGUAAUGGAGGAUGGUUGUACUGUUCCUUUGUGAAGCAGCUACUUUAAUGGAGCAUCAGGAAUCGAGAAUCAGGAACAUUCAUUGCGCGCCGUCAUUUGCGACCGGGCGCUGCUGCUACUUUUAUAGAAAUGCUAUUUAUGUAUUUCAUCAUCCGGCGGUCUGCACUGGACGCCCCGCGGGCCGUAUGUUUGACACCCCUGCACUAAGGGGUUAUUAAUGGCGAACAGUGGUACUGUUUCUUUAAGAAGCAGCUCCCUGAGACUUGACCUACCUGAAUAAAGGCUUUGAGUUCUACCUUCACUUUGCUCUUUACAGUCAUAUCUCCCUUUGUGUGAUGUAAAACGACUUUAUGGAGCUCGUAUCAUGAAAAUUGAUUAGUCGUACAGAAAAGAAGGUUAAUCGAGACCUUAAAUAAGAACUAUAACUCUCUCUCUCUCCACCAGGUUGGGAGGUGUCAUCCUCUGCUGCUUUAUGGAGAAACCAGACUUAACGAGGGCUAACAAAAUGUCAGCAGCCGACCAAUCAGGAGCCAGCAAUAGGACAGGGAGACUUAUUCGAGUGGGAAGUCUGAAGGAGUCAUUUCAGAGUGAGGAUUGAGAGGAGGAGGAGGAGGAAGAUCAGAAGGAGGAAGAAAAUUAUGAGGACAAGACAAUUAGAAGGUGGAAGAGUAGGAAAAGGAGAAGGAGUAGAAGGGGGAAGAGGAGCAGGAAGAGAGGGAGAAAGAGGAGGGUGAAAAGAGGAAGAGGAGGAAAAGAAGAAUAGGGAGAAGGGUGAAGAGGAGGUGGAAGAGGAGAAAGUGGAAGAGGGAGGGGGAAUGAAGAAGAGGAAGAGGAGGAAGAUGAAGGGAAAGAGGAGGAGGAGGAAAAUGAAGAGAUGGAGGAGGACGAACAAGAAGAGGAAGGAGGUCAUUUUUUAAAUCAGCAGUAACUUUCUUGUCGAACAAGAAGAAAAAGUGAGUCUCCUUAAGUGUGUAAAACUGUUAAAGACUAAAUGAGAACCUCCCCCUCUCUCUCUCCCCCUCUGUCUAAAUCAAUCAAUAAUUCCCUUGUCGUUACUGCAGCAUGAAGCCAAUCAGGAUAAAACAGGGAAUUAUAUUCAUGAAACAACAAAGUGCUCAGACAGCAAAACAAAUUGUGAGAGCGUACUUGUCUGUGUUGUAUGUGUGUAUGUGUGUGUGUAUGUGUGUGUGUGUGUGUUUGUGUGUGUGUGUGUGUGUGUGUGUGUGUGUGAGACAAAUGUCAAUAAGUUUUCCAUAGAAAACAAACAGUGUCGCUGAAAUGAGAUGGAGAAUGACAUGUUAGUCAUUUAAGCAUGAAGGAGAAAAAAACACAUUGAACCUGUAUAUAUUUAUAUACAGUAUAUAUACACAUACAAUAUAUAUACGGGUUCAGCUGGUUUCAGUGACCACCACAUCAUCACUGUGGACCUGAUCACUUCACCGGGUCAAUGGAUAAAGUCCAACUAGUGCUUUAAUAACAUUUAUAUUACGAGACUGCUCUCUCACUCUGCUAGAGCUCCUCUCUCUCCUCUGUCCUCGUCCUUCUGGACGUCUCUGCUGCAUUUGACACAGUCAACCACCAGAUCCUUAUUUCCUUCCUUCAGGAACUUGGUGUCUCAGGCUCUGCUCUCUCCCUUCUCUCGUCCUACCUUGACGGCUGCACCUACCGGGUAACCUGGAGAGGAUCUGUGUCGGAACCUUGUUCUCUUACUACGGGAGUUCCUCAGGGUUCCGUCCUGGGUCCCCUCCUCUUCUCGCUCUACACCAACUCUCUCAGCGCUGUCAUCCGCUCGCAUGGCUUCUCCUACCACAGCGAUGCUGAUGACACCAACUAAUUCUCUCCUUCCCUCACUCGGAUCUCUGUCUGUCUGACUGACAUCUCUCAGUGGAUCCGCCCACCAUCUGAAAAUCAACCCCGAGACUACUUCUCUUUCCAGGAAAAGAUUCUCCUUCACAGGACCUGACUGUUAACUUUGAGACUCCGUGUUAACGCCCACUUUGACUGCAGGAACUUCGGCGUGACAUCGACAGCCGACUCUCCCUGACUCCAACAUCACGGACAACAUCCUGUAGAUACUCGCUCUACAACAUCAGGAGAACACGUCCACUUCUCACCCAGAAGGCUGCUCAGGUACUGAUUCAGGCUCUUGUCAUCUCCCUCCUGGACUACUGUAACUCUCUCCUGCAGGUCUCCUGCUACCACCAUUCCACCUCUGCAGCUCAUCCAGAAUGCAGCAGCUCCACUGGUCUUUAACCUUCCUAAGUUCUCCCUCACUCCUCCAGUCCUCCGCUCUCUUCACUGGUACCGG